GUCGGUGACCAUAGAGAUCGGGAAACACCUGUUCCCAUCCCGAACACAGCAGUUAAGCCGAUCUCGCCAAUGAUACUGCAUAGCGGGAAAGUAGGUUGUCGCCGGCG
rnacentral:rRNA from 1 species